rnacentral:rRNA from 3 species
CAGGUAGGACUACCCGCUGAACUUAAGC